rnacentral:rRNA from 1 species
GAUGAACGCUGGCGGCGUGCCUAAUACAUGCAAGUCGAGCGAACAGAUGAGGAGCUUGCUCCUCUGACGUUAGCGGCGGACGGGUGAGUAACACGUGGAUAACCUACCUUUAAGACUGGGAUAACUUCGGGAAACCGGAGCUAAUACCGGAUAAUAUUUGAAACCGCUUGUUUCAUUAUUGAAAAACGGUUUUGCUUUCACUUAUAGAUGGAUCCGCGCCGCAUUAGCUAGUUGGUAAGGUAACGGCUUACCAAGGCAACGAUGCGUAGCCGACCUGAGAGGGUGAUCGGCCACACUGGAACUGAGACACGGUCCAGACUCCUACGGGAGGCAGCAGUAGGGAAUCUUCCGCAAUGGGCGAAAGCCUGACGGAGCAACGCCGCGUGAGUGAUGAAGGUCUUCGGAUCGUAAAACUCUGUUAUUAGGGAAGAACAAAUGUGUAAGUAACUAUGCACGUCUUGACGGUACCUAAUCAGAAAGCCACGGCUAACUACGUG